rnacentral:lncRNA from 10 species
AGACGCUGCAGCGAUGCCUCGCCCACGGCGGGUCAGUCAGCUCCUGGAUCUUGAUGCUUAGGAAAGAUUUUAUAUCAUUAAAAAGAAAUUGGGAGGUCACUUCCAAGAUGGCUAAAUGGGAACAGCUCCAGUCUGCAGCUCCCAGCAAGAUUGACGCAGAAGAUGGGCGAUUUCUGCAUUUCCAACUGAGAUGCUACUGGACUUGAAUGGUUAAUAAAAUUGCACAAUGUUGUUGGUGGCAGUGACUUCUUUCUGUUCAGAUGCCUUUGGUGCUUCAUGAAGAAUAUUUCCAGAUAUCUCACAGACAUUAAGCCUUUGCCUCCCAACAUAAAAGACAGACUGAUUAAAAUAAUGAGUAUGCAGGGACAGAUAACAGAUUCAAAUAUAAGUGAGGGUCAUGCUCCGUUGCCCAGGCUGGAGUACAGUGGUGCAAUCUCAGCUCACUGCAACCUCCGCUGCCUGGACUUAGAGACAGGGUUUCACCAUGUUGCCCAGGCUGGUCUCGAACUCCGGAGCUCAAGUGAUCCAUCCGCCUCAGCCUCUCAAAAUGCUGGGAUUACAGAUUUUACAU